GACGAACGCUGGCGGCGUGCCUAAUACAUGCAAGUUGAGCGCUGAAGGUUGGUACUUGUACCGACUGGAUGAGCAGCGAACGGGUGAGUAACGCGUGGGGAAUCUGCCUUUGAGCGGGGGACAACAUUUGGAAACGAAUGCUAAUACCGCAUAAAAACUUUAAACACAAGUUUUAAGUUUGAAAGAUGCAAUUGCAUCACUCAAAGAUGAUCCCGCGUUGUAUUAGCUAGUUGGUGAGGUAAAGGCUCACCAAGGCGAUGAUACAUAGCCGACCUGAGAGGGUGAUCGGCCACAUUGGGACUGAGACACGGCCCAAACUCCUACGGGAGGCAGCAGUGGGGAAUCUUCGGCAAUGGACGAAAGUCUGACCGAGCAACGCCGCGUGAGUGAAGAAGGUUUUCGGAUCGUAAAACUCUGUUGGUAGGGAAGAACGUUGGUGAGAGUGGAAAGCUCAUCAAGUGACGGUAACUACCCAGAAAGGGACGGCUAACUACGUGCCAGCCGCCGCGGUAA
rnacentral:rRNA from 1 species